UGGGCACAAAGAGGGCAGUGGGAGC
rnacentral:piRNA from 1 species